UACGGAGGGUGCAAGCGUUAUCCGGAUUUAUUGGGCGUAAAGAGCGUGUAGGCGGCCAGGUAGGUCUGCUGUGAAAACUCGAGGCUUAACCUCGAGAUGUCGGCGGAAACCAUCUGGCUAGAGUCCGGAAGAGGAGAAUGGAAUUCCCGGUGUAGCGGUGAAAUGCGCAGAUAUCGGGAAGAACACCCGUGGCGAAGGCGGUUCUCUGGGACGGUACUGACGCUGAGACGCGAAAGCGUGGGGAGCGAACAGG
rnacentral:rRNA from 1 species